UACAGAGGGUGCGAGCGUUAAUCGGAUUUACUGGGCGUAAAGGGCGCGUAGGCGGUUAUGAGAGUGUGAUGUGAAAGCCCCGGGCUUAACCUGGGAAGUGCAUCGCAAACGCCAUAACUGGAGUAGAUGAGAGGGUGAUGGAAUUUCCGGUGUAGCGGUGAAAUGCGUAGAGAUCGGAAAGAACGUCGAUGGCGAAGGCAGUCACCUGGCAUCAUACUGACGCUGAGGCGCGAAAGCGUGGGUAGCGAACAGG
rnacentral:rRNA from 1 species